rnacentral:rRNA from 1 species
GGUUGAUCCUGCCAGUAGCAUAUGCUUGUCUCAAAGAUUAAGCCAUGCAUGUCUAAGUAUAAACAUUUAUACAGUGAAACUGCGAAUGGCUCAUUAUAUCAGUUAUAAUUUAUUUGAUAGUACCUUACUACAUGGAUAACCGUGGUAAUUCUAGAGCUAAUACAUGCAAUAAAGCCCGACUUUUGAAGGGCUGUAUUUAUUAGGUAAAAACCAAUGCCACCAGUGGCUUUUUGGUGAUUCAUAAUAACUUAUCAGAUCGCAUGACCUUGCGUCGGCGACGUAUCAUUCAAAUU